AAGCAUUGAUUCAAGACUAUUUAGUAGCACAUAAAAGAACAAUACAAUAAAGUAGUAGUUAUGGUGUUAAGAUAGAUAAUAACUUUGAUGAAGGUAUAGAGACAAGUGAAUUCUAGACUUCUGCCAUUUUUUCAAUAUAAAAAAGAAAGACACGUCAAGAUGCGUUAUUAAAAACUAUAGCUAUAAUUUAUAAUUUAAUCGAUUAAGAAGAUCCUAUAGAGGUUCUU
rnacentral:lncRNA from 1 species